AAAAUAAUGACCAACGGUCAAACAAGCGUUUCCAACGCGACCACGAAAGCAGUUAAAUCCGAGUUUGAAAUUCCUGAUAAAAUUUCAAAAUCCCUCUCACCACUGCCUGCCUGUGAUAGUACGGUACGCUUUGUGACCGAUCCAAUGGCGGGAACACUCCAAACCCUACUUCUCAUUCCUCCAUCCACUAGAACACUCUCGCUCCCCCGCGGGACCCCGCGUUUCCCGUCGAAUCACGCUUUGUUCUGCUGCCCCUCCAUCGCUUUUAAACGCAACCGCUCGAUUUGCAGACCCGUCGGUGCCCUGGAGCGGCCCGAUCAGAGAGAUGGAAAUGGAGACAAAGUUGACCCCGUUUCAGGUUCAUCGAGUGGGCUAGGUUGGGUAAAACCAGUAUUGGAUUUUACGACAAAUAACUUUCUUCCCUUAGCUCUUGUCGGUGGAGUAGCAUUAGGACUUGCAAAUCCUAGUCUUGGUUGUCUUGCAGAUAGAUAUUCUCUCUCAAAAUUUAGCACCUUUGGGAUUUUUAUUAUCUCAGGCUUGACGUUGCGCAGUGGAGACAUUGGUGCAGCUGCAGAAGCAUGGCCUGUUGGAAUUUUUGGGCUAGUGUCCAUUCUAAUGAUCACUCCUUACUUUUCGAGAGCAAUACUGCAAAUGCAACUGCAGCCUCAAGAAUUUGUUACAGGACUGGCUAUAUUUAGCUGUAUGCCAACUACAUUAUCAAGUGGAGUGGCACUUACUCAACUUGCUGGAGGGAAUUCUGCCCUUGCUCUUGCAAUGACAUUGAUAUCUAAUUUGUUUGGCAUUUUAAUUGUCCCAUUUUCUAUCUCAAAAUUCAUUGCUGAUGGAGUUGGUGUAUCUGUUCCGACCAAGCAACUGUUUAGGAGCCUUGUUCUCACGCUAUUAGUCCCCUUAAUCUUAGGGAAGGUCCUUCGGGAAUCCUUUAAAGGCUUGGCAGACUUUGUUGAUCAAAACCGCAAGCUUUUUUCAAAGCUUAGUGCACUCUUUCUCAGUCUAGUACCAUGGAUGCAAGUCAGCAGGUCGAGGUCACUGCUGUUAAUGGUUAAGCCUUCCAUUUUUCUUGUAGCUAUUGGAUUGGGGGCACUUCUCCAUGUCAUCUUUUUGGCAUUUAACGCACUCACCAUAUGGAGCCUCUCAGCCGUAUCUGGUGGGAGCAAAUCAAUUUUUUUGAAGAAAGAAAAUGCCAGCGCUUUCCUACUUGUUGCAAGCCAGAAAACCCUGCCUGUGAUGGUGGCAGUUGUGGAGCAGCUUGGGGGUGCAUUUGGUGAAUCUGGUUUGCUGGUUCUUCCUUGUGUUGCAGCACAUCUAAAUCAGAUUAUUAUGGACUCUUUCCUCGUUAACUUAUGGUUUCGGAAAGAAAUCUCAUCCACGAAUGCCAAGGUCAACUGAGUAAAGGAGAAGAAUAUUUUUCGCCAGCAAUAUUCUUAGCAGAUCCCAAUGUGAUUGCUCUGUUGUAUGGAGCAACUAGAUAGAAAUGGGUUGAUUCUUCACAAGGAAUUGAAAUGAGCCAAUUGAACUAUUCAUUCAAAUGCCUUUAAUAAAUGAAUGGAUUUGAUAGAGAUCCAGGAGAAAGAUUGCACCAGUACCUGUGAUCGGGGCCUUAGACAAGAUUCUGUUGGUGAGUAAAAGAAUUAUGUAUCCUACAAAAUGAAGAUGGUCUUCUUGGGAAAGGGUGCAUGCACUUUUUGUGCAAUUCCCCCUCAUGCUCUUGACCCUGCAAAUACUUGAAUAUUUCGGCGUUCGCUUCUGUCGGUACCAGGUAAGGUAACAGUGCCAGUCUGCAGUCCAUAUUUAAAUAAUUUAGGUUUAAACUUAUGCUUGUCGUUACAUGAUACACAAUACGUCAGUUUUGAGAGACUUUUUUAAACUA